GUAGUCUCGCACAGAUGCAUAUCAAUAAGCGGAGGAAAAGAAACUAACAAGGAUUCCCUCAGUAACGGCGAGUGAAGCGGGAAGAGCUCAAAUUUGAAAUCUUCAAGGUUUUACCUUGACGAAUUGUAGUUUAAAGAAGUGUUUUCUGUUGAAGUUUUGGUAAAAGUUCUUUGGAAUAGGACAUCAUAGAGGGUGAGAAUCCCGUAUUUGACCAUUAUUUUCAGCUGUGUGAUACACUUUCAAAGAGUCGGAUUGUUUGGGAAUGCAGUCCAAAAUGGGUGGUAAAUUUCAUCUAAAGCUAAAUAUUGGCGAGAGACCGAUAGCGAACAAGUACCGUGAGGGAAAGAUGAAAAGAACUUUGAAGAGAGAGUUAAACAGUACGUGAAAUUGUCAAAAGGGAAGCGUUUGACACCAGUGUUGUUUUCUCGAAAAUCAAUUAAAAAGAGUUAGAUUUUGUUGUGUAUUGACCUUAACAGCUUGCAUUUCAAUUUUCUUGCUUUUUUUAAUGCACUUUUCGUUUAACAAGUCAACAUCAGUUUCUUUUGUUGUAAAAAGGUCAUUGGAAGGUGGCUUUCUUUUCGGAGAAAGUGUUUAUAGCCUUUGACUCCUGCAAUCGGAGAGACUGAGGUCUGCAGCGUAGAUCCUUCGGGGUUAGAUACAUUUGUGCUAAGUUAUAGCUUUUAUAGACAACUUGUUGACUAUGAUUAGUCUUGUAGCUUACUCGCUGAUGUUAUUUUACCUACGCUUAGGAUGUUGAUGUGAUACUGCGAGC
rnacentral:rRNA from 1 species